GAGGAUAUUGAGUUUGGGGGGUGGGGAUAAAGUUGUUAGAGAUUUUGUCUUUGAGGAAGAACUUGUGCCUUUCCCUCAAAUUGUUGAUCUUGGUCUUCCUGACUCGAAUCACACAAAUCCGGUUCAAGACAAUCUCGAAAUUCUCCGCCAUCAGGACCCUGAUAUAACUAAUGAAAUCAAACUCAACAACCUCAAGAAACUGAAAUGCCA
rnacentral:lncRNA from 1 species